rnacentral:rRNA from 1 species
AUUGAACGCUGGCGGCAUGCUUUACGCAUGCAAGUCGAACGGUAACAGGCCGCAAGGUGCUGACGAGUGGCGAACGGGUGAGUAAUGCAUCGGAACGUGCCCAGUCGUGGGGGAUAACGCAGCGAAAGCUGCGCUAAUACCGCAUACGAUCUCUGGAUGAAAGCGGGGGACCGAAAGGCCUCGCGCGAUUGGAGCGGCCGCUGUCAGAUUAGGUAGUUGGUGGGGUAAAGGCCCACCAAGCCAACGAUCUGUAGCUGGUCUGAGAGGACGACCAGCCACACUGGGACUGAGACACGGCCCAGACUCCUACGGGAGGCAGCAGUGGGGAAUUUUGGACAAUGGGCGCAAGCCUGAUCCAGCAAUGCCGCGUGCAGGAAGAAGGCCUUCGGGUUGUAAACUGCUUUUGUACGGAACGAAACGGUCUGGGUUAAUACCCUGGGCUAAUGACGGUACCGUAAGAAUAAGCACCGGCUAACUACGUGCCAGCAGCCGCCGUAA